AGAGCAUGCCCUCACGCAUGUGCAAGCAGGAGGAGAUGAAUAAAGGGGGAGAAGAGAGAGAGAGAGAGAGAGAGAGAAUCUCAAGCAGACUCCACGCUCAGCACAGUGGAGCCCAACUCAAGACUCAGUCCCACAACCAUGAGAUCAUUCCCUGAACUGAAAUCAAGAGUCAGGCACUCAAUGGACUGAGCCACCCAGGUACCCCUGAUCCUUUACUUUAGAAUGAGAGUCUGGGUCUUGGUGAAAAUGAUUGAAACAUUCACACAUGUCCUUUUGAUUUCUUCUGGCAAUGCAAGGCAAGACACCCUUGUCAUUCUGUGAUAUGUCUGUUUCCUUAUGCUUUGUUUUCGUGGAGUUAGUGGUGUUCCUUGCAGUUCCUCUGUUCCAGUCUUUAAUGAACAAAUUAAAGCUUAUCAUUUCACUGUACAAUGUGGGAGGUUGAUUCUGAUGGUUUGCAAAUAUGUUAGCAUGGGUGCAUGUAGACAGAAUUAAAGUUGCUCUAGUUCCAUUUCUUGUCUUUAUAAUCACUGAGUUAUUAUUGAUUACUGCAGAUAUACAGGUUAGACUCAGGAAUAAGUACUGAACUGUGCCCAGGUUGAGGUCUAAAUGAUUCCAACUGAUCAUGCACUUACUCCUGAAACCAAUGGUUGGAGCUGAGUCUGCAUGUGUCAUAGGCUAAACGAGAACUAGUUCUCCAAAUGAACUUGAUGACAUAGGACACAAUGUUUAUGAAAGGAUAAGUAAUAAAAAUGUGUUAAUUGGAAAUUUAUUUUUUUUUAUAGAAACUAAGUAGAAACCAAAGUAGUUGUUUAGAAUUUAGACCAGAAAAAAAUUUCAGGGAGAAUUAUUUUAUCGGUGCCAUUUUUACAAUUGCAGGCUGGUAGCAAUACUAAAAAGUGGGCCACUUUUAGUUGGUUUUAUUGUUGUUUUUCAGUUCCCUUUGGAACAGUGCACUCCAUACUGCCAGCAUGAGGGUUGUUCCCACUGCCUCUCCCAUCUCCAGGCCUCCACCGCCUGAAGUCGGCCAGGCAUGCAGAAUGGGGGACAAGAGAGACUUAGCUGGAAUCAACAGAAAUGUAAUGCAUGAGUUUUUAAAAUGCAUUGGGAUGAACAGAAAUACCAUAAGGAAAGCAAGAUGCGAUUCUUGCUCACCCUCCCCCCUAAAAAUAAAAGCAAUCACCUAACAACUAAAAAUAUCUUUUAUUUUUUUUAAGGAAAGGCAGAUAUUUAAAAAGCAUUGACAUUCAUUUUUUUGAACCUCUGCUUCAGCUAAUACUUCACAUUUUUACAUUCUUAGAAAAUGUUCAAAUUUUUCUCUUAGACUUCAUUUCAAUGGAACUCCCCCUCUUCCCCCCUCCCCAUGAAUUGUGAUUACUCUGUGUUUUUGGCCUUGUCUUCUAGAAAAUGUACCAUUUUGACUCACAGCUUAAGACAGCUUUGAUGUUCUUAGUAUGACAUACUGUAUAUAAUGUUAGCUGUUCAAAGCUGGAGAUCAGAUUGUGCAUAAUAACAUAUGUAGUUUAGAUUAUAUAAACACUACAGGAAGAAGGGGAGACAGGGCCCUUCUGUGUACAAAUUUCAGAUUGCUAGCUCUAUGCCUGUUUAGAAUGUUAAAUACUCCUAACUAGGCAGUGAUGAAGUUACUUCUUUAGUGACUGUGACUUCUGAAACUAUAGAGAUGAAGAUUUUUCAACUAAAAUUAAUUUGAAGAUGAUGUUAAUUAACAUAUUUACUUUAUGUGGUUUUCUAGUUGCUACUUGGGGAGCUUUGGGGAUAAAGAUGGAAAAAUAAAUUUCAUUGUCUUUAAAGCCCAAUGUAAUUAAGCAAUUUCAUCAAAAACUUGGAAAAUAUAGCUUAAAAGAGCCAAACGCAGAAUGUGAUACAAAUUGUAAAUUUCAUCCAUUAUACAUUUUACCCAUUGUAAAGGUAUCUGAGGCAGGAAACUAUACCACUGUGUUUCCCUAGGAUUGCUUCUUUUAUAUGUUAGUAUUUCAGAUUAGUUAGACUACUAUGGAGUUUUUUUCUUUUGUGUCAUUCUUUUAUUUCUAAGGUUGCUGUCUGCCU
ensembl:lncRNA